UACGAAGGGGCUAGCGUUGCUCGGAAUCACUGGGCGUAAAGCGCACGUAGGCGGGUCCUUAAGUCAGGGGUGAAAUCCUGGAGCUCAACUCCAGAACUGCCCUUGAUACUGAGGAUCUCGAGUUCGGGAGAGGUGAGUGGAACUUCGAGUGUAGAGGUGAAAUUCGUAGAUAUUCGCAAGAACACCAGUGGCGAAGGCGGCUCACUGGCCCGAUACUGACGCUGA
rnacentral:rRNA from 1 species